AAAAUAGUGUCGUAAACUCUCAAAGCAAAACCAAAGAAACCUUUUACAAUUUAGCUUUAAGCGCAUAGCUGUGGGCAAUAGCAUAGCAGCACGUGACACUGGUCUGUUUACAUCAGCGACUGUUCUCUGAGGACAAUGACAAGACACCACACUGAGCCCUGGAUGUCAUUAUGGAAGGUAGUCAGUGGUGACAGACACACCAUGUCCCACUGAGAAUGAGAGAGAUGGUAGAAAGAGACAGGGAGGAGGGAGAGACCGGCGGUUCCACUGUUACAGUUCAGAAUCUGUGGAGGAUUCAAACAAACACUGAAUCUCUGGAUGCUUUGCUGCUGGUGCUCAGCGCUGCGAAGAGAGAAACCUAAUGACUUCAAAUACCAAUCAAUAGUGCAUUCCUGGACUUGCAGGUAAACAUAACCAGUUCGCAGGUCUUCUGAUGUCCGGUGGAAGUAUGUACAGUACUUCCCAAAGAGGCAAUGGAUGACCGCAGUAAUGCAUUAACAUUAUAGUAACCGGAACAACCAGAGGGUCAAAGUCUCUCUCUCUCUCUCUCUCCAAAACAGGCGAGAAAAAAGGAAAAAGAAACCAGUGGAUUUUCUCUCGCUUUCAGGACAGUAGGGUACCCUCACCCCUUCUUCCUCAUCUGCAAAAUUCCUUUUGUCAUUCUCUCCAGACCCACCCCAGACGACCUUUCUUUCUGGAGGUCAAAGGGCAAACCCUGAAUCCUCAGACUGGCAAUUAGACAAAAACAAGGCUAAGACAUCACAAAUAAGCCCCAAGAUACAAGAGGAAAACUGAACGUAUACACAGGUACAAAGUUGCCCCUCACAAUGUUAAAUAUAUUUUUCCAUAAAUCUCUUUUAUUUGUCCUUCUCAUUUGCUCUCUCACAUAUCGAUAAAAACAAUUUAAUAAAGUAAAGCUUUCGACAACCAUUUUAAUAUGUCUUUAAACCGCACAAGUCUACUUUGACAUUCAACAAACACAUACCUCAAGUGACAUCCAAGAAAAAGUAAAGUACAGUAAGUUUAUUUGCUUGUCCAUAAACCAGUUUGUGCUUUUGUUGUUGUUUGUUGACAACAGUCAGAUUUGAUGUUUCUCCAUCUGUGUAGAAAGAGAUCCAGCACAUGGGGACAUAUGGACCUCAGCUAAAAGAAGCAAAGGUGAUGACUGAAAUUCUUUACAGGACAUCAGUGUUGUCAGCAUUGCUCUGUUAUAGACAAAAUGACCUUUACCAUUUACAGAAAUCAAAAGAACAUAUCAAAGGUAAGGUGGAGAGAGAACUACCACAAAACAGAGACGAGACAGAGCUGGAAAGGAGGAAAGCAUCAAAGCAGCCAAUGCACUGUCAUGACAAUUCGUAACUAUUUUACAUUUUGGUGUUUAAUUCGUAUAACAUUUUGGUAGCUAAUUCGUAUAAUCUCAUUUGUACUUUUUCACACACUCAUCUUGCGUCCCACUGAAGGUUAGUUUUUGGGUGGGAUUAGAGAUGGACCUUAAUGCUUAUAUAUUUUUUUAAAUCUCACGCUCUUUGCCAGUCAUAUAAAUUCAUGUGAAAUCGGCACUUCGUAAAAUAGUUACGUUUCCUCGUGAGAUUGGGUUAGAACAGCACAGAAAGAGAUCACUUGAUUUCUCAAGCCAAUCGUUCAUGACUACACUAUCAAGUGUUGAUUUGAGCAUUAAAAGGUGUACUCUGUAAGUUUUUGUUAGUGUUUCACCUGUUCAUUUUCAUCCCAGAGAAGCAUAUACUGACACCUACUGGUGUGGAUGUAUGAAGCUUGCGUAUUAACUGCUGUUCACUUCAUUUUCAUUCAUUUGUAAAGUGCCUUGAGCACUGAGAAAGUACUAUAUAAUAGUGAAUGAAUAAUUAUUAUUAUUGAUAUUGUUGUCUUUAUUACUAUUAGACAUGGAAGCCCCAUGAAAAGGCAACCCGCUCCAUGUGGAAUAAAUUAGAAGAUAUGACUGGAGUAUUGAUUGCAUCUGGGCUAGCCCGUCUCAUUUGGUCUGGGACGGGAGAGAGAGAAACUGCCUUUCGGCACAGCACCACAAUCGCGCUCAUCGAGCGUCCUGUCCAUCUUCAUUCUGAGCAACUGGAACCCUGGCAAGCUCUCAGUGUAUACAGUUUCAGGCAAUAAUAGUCUAAUGGCUCCUAACUCUUGUGAUAUCCUGAUCUUUCUCUCUCUCUCUCUCUACAACACACCUACAGGCUCCCGCACACAAACACACACAAAUCCUGCAGACUGAUUCAUCACACAAAUGGAUAAGGCGUGGUAUUGUGGAUACUGCACUUAAGUGUCUGUUGAGUGGCUCUAUGCGUGUAAUAAUGAUGGCAUCACAUAUUAAUGGACCCAAUGCACUUUAUGCUGCAUCAUAGUUAUAUGAGAACAUAACUGCUUAAGAGCACGGCUAGAAAGCCAGAGCUGGUCAUCUGAGCAGGACAGAGACCAACAGGGUCCAUCUUGAGAUGAUCCAACUUUACUGAGGGGGGUUCGAUAGAUUUGUCACCCUUCACGAAGCUAAAAGCAAAACAAACCUGCUCUGCUAUAUACUGACAUAGAGACGUGUCAGUUAUCUUGUGUGGUUCAUUAGCUUUCAAAAGAUUGGUUUUUGUGCUAAGAACCCAGAUGAACCCCAAAAUGAACAUUUUGUCAUUUUUGGGUAAACUAUAUUUGCAUAAAUCACUUUUUUUCCUUGGUUUGCAGAAAAAUAAUUCUGUUAUGUCUCAUUUGCAUAUUCAGAAUUCAGUCAGUAAUGAGUAAUGAACUGCAUUGGCAAAACUAAAAUAAGUCCUUAUGCCUCAGCUUAAAAUAUCCUUUUCUUAAAUAAUUCUUAUAUAGCAAGGAUGCAUUAAACUGACCAAAAGUGACAGUGUGUGUUAUACUGUAUAAGAUGUCUAUUUCAAAUAAAUGCUGUUCUUUUAAACUUUGUUAAUCAAAG